rnacentral:rRNA from 1 species
UACAGAGGUGGCAAGCGUUGUUCGGAAUUACUGGGCGUAAAGGGCUCGUAGGCGGCCAACUAAGUCAGACGUGAAAUCCCCAGGCUCAACCUGGGAACUGCAUCCAAGACUGGGAGGCUUGAAUCCGGGAGAGGGAUGCGGAAUUCCAGGUGUAGCGGUGAAAUGCGUAGAUAUCUGGAGGAACACCGGUGGCGAAGGCGGCAUCCUGGACCGGUAUUGACACUGAGGCGCGAAAGCCAGGGAGCAAACGGG